rnacentral:rRNA from 1 species
GCGUUGUUCGGAUUCAUUGGGCGUAAAGGGUGCGUAGGUGGCGGGGGAAGUCAGGGGUGAAAUUUCGGAGCUUAACUCCGGAACUGCAUUUGAUACUGCCUUGCUUGAGGACUGGAGAGGAGAGUGGAAUUUACGGUGUAGAAGUGAAAUGCGUAGAGAUCGUGAGGAAGACCAGUGGCGAAGGCGGGUCUCUGGACAGUUCCUGACACUGAGGCACGAAGGCCAG